CCUACGGGAGGCAGCAGUGAGGAAUAUUGGUCAAUGGCCGGAAGGCUGAACCAGCCAAGCCGCGUGAAGGACGAAGGUGCCAAGCAUUGUAAACUUCUUUUGUCAAGGGACAAAAUCAGGCUCGAGAGCCUGACCGAGGGUACUUGAAGAAAAAGCAUCGGCUAACUCCGUGCCAGCAGCCGCGGUAAUACGGAGGAUGCGAGCGUUACCCGGAUUUAUUGGGUUUAAAGGGUGCGUAGGCGGGCUGUUAAGUCAGCGGUAAAAGCCCGGGGCUAAACCCCGGCGAGCCGUUGAAACUGUGUGGCUUGAGGGGUCGAGAGGUAUGCGGAAUGCGCAGUGUAGCGGUGAAAUGCUUAGAUAUUGGGCAGAACUCCGAUUGCGAAGGCAGCAUACCGGAGGCGAUCUGACGCUGAGGCACGAAAGCGUGGGUAUCGAACAGGAUUAGAUACCCGGGUAGUC
rnacentral:rRNA from 1 species